rnacentral:rRNA from 1 species
GACGAACGCUGGCGGCGUGCCUAAUACAUGCAAGUAGGACGCACAGUCUAUACCGUAGCUUGCUACACCAUAGGCUGUGAGUUGCGAACGGGUGAGUAACGCGUAGGUAACCUGCCUAUUAGAGGGGGAUAACUAUUGGAAACGAUAGCUAAUACCGCAUAACAGUAUGUAACACAUGUUAGAUGCUUGAAAGAUGCAAUUGCAUCGCUAGUAGAUGGACCUGCGUUGUAUUAGCUAGUAGGUAGGGUAAUGGCCUACCUAGGCGACGAUACAUAGCCGACCUGAGAGGGUGAUCGGCCACACUGGGACGGAGACACGGCCCAGACUCCUACGGGAGGCAGCAGUAGGGAAUCUUCGGCAAUGGGGGGAACCCUGACCGAGCAACGCCGCGUGAGUGAAGAAGGUUUUCGGAUCGUAAAGCUCUGUUGUUAAGGAAGAACGAGUGUGAGAAUGGAAAGUUCAUACUGUGACGGUACUUAACCAGAAAGGGACGGCUAACUACGUG